rfam:Clostridium tepidiprofundi DSM 19306 CLTE_contig000023, whole genome shotgun sequence.
AUUUAAAUACAUCUCAUGUUGAGGUUCAAC